GGCGAGGAGAGGCCCGCCCGCCACUUUUGCUCUCUCUCUCGCUCUUCCAUUUUUUCUCUUGAAGUUUCUCUCAAAUACACCCACUGUAAAUCACCGAUUUUGCAAAAUCCAACCGCCCGAUCUUAGAUCCGACCGCAUUUUCACCAUGAAAGUGGCCUCGAUCUAGAAGUAGGGCCAGGUUUCUAGGAUUUUACUCAACUUCCUCCCCAGGUUCAGACUCGAGUUAGUCCUUUCCAGGCAAUUACUGCUCAUCUUCUUAGAUUGUCAAGCACGCUUGGGCAAUGCCUUCUAUGAAGAAGAAGGGUGAACGCAGUGGCAUCAGGAAUGUAUUCAACGAGUUGCUGAAAGAGAUUGGAAAUCCGGUUGAGUUUGAACUUCCAGAAUGGUUUAAUAAGUGGAAACCUAUGCCCUACACCUUCAUAAAGCGCAACAUCUAUCUCACUAAGAAGAUUAGGAGGCGUCUGGAGGAUGAUGGAAUAUUCUGUUCCUGCAGCUCAUUGAGUGGAACUGCUGGUGUGUGUGGCAGGGAUUGCCAUUGUGGGAUGCUAUUUUUUUCACGUGGUUUAUUCCUGUCUUUCUCCAGAAUGCUACUAUCAACCUGCUCCUCGGGCUGUAAAUGUGGGGGUUCAUGUCUCAAUAAAGCAUUCCAGCAUAGGCUUCCCAAAAAGAUGAAGCUAGUUAAGACGGAGAAAUGUGGAUCAGGGAUUGUGGCAGAUGAAGAUAUUAAGCAAGGAGAGUUCGUAAUAGAAUAUGUUGGAGAAGUUAUCGAUGACAAAACAUGCGAGGAAAGGCUUUGGAAAAUGAAACACCGUGGAGAAACAAAUUUUUAUUUGUGUGAAAUUAAUCGUGAUAUGGUGAUUGAUGCCACAUACAAAGGAAACAAGUCAAGAUAUAUUAAUCAUAGCUGUUGUCCAAACACUGAGAUGCAAAAAUGGAUAAUUGAUGGCGAGACAAGGAUUGGCAUUUUUGCAACUCGGGACAUAAAAAAGGGGGAGCAUCUGACUUAUGAUUAUCAGUUUGUUCAAUUUGGUGCAGAUCAAGAUUGCUACUGUGGUGCAGUAGGCUGCAGGCGAAAGCUAGGUGUUAAGCCAAGUAAGCCUAAGAUUCCUUCAUCAGAUGCUGCAUUGAAAAUUGUUGCAUGUCAGGUGGCUGUCUCGUCUCCCAAAGUGAAAGCAAUUCUUUUUGGGAAAGAUGUUUAUCGCAAUGGAGUUCUGCAUAUAGGAAGUUCGAGAUGUUAUCCGACAAAGAGGAGAGGACCACGAAAUUGCAUUGGUGAAGUUAUUAGAAUUGUGCGCCCUGUGGAUAAGAGUUCCUUUGGGAUUAUUAGCCGGUUCGAUAAGAAUACUAGAAAACACUUGAUAAUGUUUGAAGAUGGUACUCGUGAAUUCCUUGACAUGUCAAAAGAAGAUUGGGAGUUGUGUGUUUUCUGAUUGAUUGUUGGGUAAGUCAAGUUAUUAUUGUUAUGACUUAAUGUUCAUUGUUCUUUUAACAUUCCUUCCAUAAUCAUCCUUCUCAAUUUAGUGCUCAUCGGAAUCGCAUUCGUGUUGGGAAAGUUCUUUAUCAGGAAAAGAGCAGUGAUAUACUCAUUUGUGGACUUGUAGAAUUAGAGCUGGUGUUUGUGACUUAACCAAAGGACACUGGUGCAAAAGCUGAUGGCAAGUCUGCCACACGUUCAAAUUGUAUAGCUUAAGACUAGAUAUGUUUCUUUGCGAAUAUCUCAUUUUUGUAUUUGGUAACGGGAAAUAAUAAUGUAAAAAAUGCGUGAACUAUGGAGGGAUUUUGCGCAGCCAUUUGCUUGGUGGGGCUCCCAUUUGUUGUAAGCUAACUAUAAAUUGUCUUCUACCCAGACAUAAGUUAGGCAUUAAUUACUUUUUUUGAUAAA